CGUGUAGGCGGUUGGGCAAGUCAGAUGUGAAAGCCUUCCGCUCAACGGAAGAAGGGCAUUUGAAACUACCCAGCUAGAGUACGGGAGAGGAGAGUGGAAUUCCCGGUGUAGAGGUGAAAUUCGUAGAUAUCGGGAGGAACACCAGUGGCGAAGGCGGCUCUCUGGUCCGAUACUGACGCUGAAACGCGAAAGCGUGGGGAGCAAACAGGAUUAGAUACCCCGGUAGUCCACGCCGUAAACGAUGGGCACUAGGUGUAGGAGGUAUUGACCCCUUCUGUGCCGAAGCUAACGCAUUAAGUGCCCCGCCUGGGGAGUACGGCCGCAAGGCUAAA
rnacentral:rRNA from 1 species